rnacentral:lncRNA from 13 species
AUUAGAUUGCGAUUUUUUUUUUAAAUUUAAGGCCUCGUUUUUGGUUUUAGAACAAUUAUUUUUGAUUUAAAAAAAUAUAUAUGUUUUGCUCUCGACAAAAAGACACAAAUGUACCUGCUAUUUUAACAGUAAAGUUAGAAUAAUGUGAUUCAUGUAGGUGCCAAUGGCAUCAUAAACAGGACUUAAUCAGGCUUUUAAUGGCAUUUGAGUACGGAACGCGUCAAGGUAUAUAUUUUUUAGACACGCAAAAGGCGUUCCGUAUUUGAACAGAGAACAACACGAGCUUGUUUCCAAGGUUACAGACAGACACUGAAAUGUCAGUCCGUCAGUGUAAAUGCGACUGUUUACAGAAAUCCUAGAAUAAAAACAGUUUCAAAAAGCUUUAAAAAGAAAAGCUAAAAUGGACAAUUGUGAUUUGGAGAAGCUUGCAAUUUCGGGACAGACGUUGCAGCCUGCGUUCAAAGCAGAUGUAACAACUUAUAAAGUUACUGUUGCAAGCGAUGUCGACCAGGUUACAUUGGACCUGCUCACAAGUGACUGCGGAGCCAGUUAUAAAAUCCGUUGUGGUGAUGGCUCAAAGUCCAUCAAACUGAAUGAUGGAUUGAAUUUGGUUGAAAUAGAGGUGGGAGCCGAGGAUGGCACCUCCAAAAAAUAUUGCAUUGAGGUCACCAAACUGUCUGCGAGGACUGCAGAGUUGAGUGACCUUACAAUUGAAGGAAAUGUUCAAUUACAACCUACAUUUUCGGCAAACAUCUAUGAUUACUCAAGCACAGUUCCUUUCUACUGUAAUUCGGUGACCAUACUGCCCAAAGUUCCUGAUAAAAACAUGAAAGUUUCAGUGAAUGAAGAAAGUGAUUCCCAACCUUCUCCAUUGACUGUUGGAGAAACUGUCGUCAGUAUCAAGGUCUUGUCAGCAGAUGGCAGCAAUUCUCAGGUAAUAACACAAACUGCUACUGUACUGGCAACGUUUUUUAUGGAAACCUUUGCUAAAUCUUUGUACUUUAGAUAUAAUGAUACAUCAAAUAUUCAGUAAUUCCUGAUGGAUUAAAGAAUGUCUCUUUCAAAACCACUCCCAGAUGUACUAUGUGUUGGUGAUGCGAGAGCAGAUUCCCAUGGCUGUGUCUUUCAGUGAUGUGAAAGAGCAGGUCUCCUAUGAGUGCCCUGUCACUCUGACGGCCCUCUACAGACCCAUAUCCAUCAACCAGAGGUAGAGUGACUAUAGCAGGGGUAUUCUAAUCCUACACUGGAGAUAGUGACUAUAGCAGGGGUAUUCUAAUCCUACC